AUUAGGUCUUUUAGAAUCACUGC
rnacentral:snRNA from 1 species